rnacentral:rRNA from 1 species
GUCUACAGCCAUGCCACCCUGAACACACCUGAUCCUGUCUGAUCUCGGAAGCUAAGCAGGGUCAGACCUGGUUAGUACUUCGAUGGGAGACCACCUAGGAAAACCAGGUGCUAUAGGCG